UAACACAUGCAAGUCGAGCGCGAAAGCGGCUUCGGUCGUUAGUAGAGCGGCGGACGGGUGAGGAACACGUGGGUAACCUACCCUCGGGUGGGGAAUAACCCAGGGAAACCUGGGCUAAUUCCGCAUAACAUCUUUAGCUCGCAAGAGUUUUGGAUCAAAGCUGGGGACCCUUCGGGGCCUGGCGCCUGAGGAGGGGCCCGCGGCCGAUUAGCUUGUUGGUGAGGUAACGGCUCACCAAGGCUUCGAUCGGUAGCCGGCCUAAGAGGGCGGACGGCCACACUGGGACUGAGACACGGCCCAGACUCCUACGGGAGGCAGCAGUGGGGAAUUUUUGUCAAUGGGGGAAACCCUGAACAAGCAACGCCGCGUGGAGGACGAAGACCUUCGGGUCGUAAACUCCUGUCGGAGGGGACGAAAGCGGUUACGGUUAAUACCCGUAGUCGUUGACGGUACCCUAUGAGGAAGCCCCGGCUAACUCCGUGCCAGCAGCCGCGGUAAUACGGGGGGGGCAAGCGUUGUUCGGAAUUACUGGGCGUAAAGGGCGCGUAGGCGGUCCCGCAAGUCCUUCGUGAAAUCCCACAGCUCAACUGUGGAACUGCGAGGGAAACUGCAGGACUUGAGUCCGGAGAAGGAGAGU
rnacentral:rRNA from 1 species